GGAUUACACCGCUUUUCUUUCUGGAGUCAACAAGCAACUCAACGGCAAAAGACCAGUUCUCCUGUCAGGGGGUUCAAAAGAUAGACAGACUCUAAAAGAGGCACAAAAUAUUGCAUCAUCAGCCAAAAAGCUCUUCGCCAAGACCCAUAAAAAGCUGUCUGUGA